AGUGAACGCUGGCGGUAGGCCUAACACAUGCAAGUCGAACGGCAGCACAGUAAGAGCUUGCUCUUACGGGUGGCGAGUGGCGGACGGGUGAGGAAUACAUCGGAAUCUACUUUUUCGUGGGGGAUAACGUAGGGAAACUUACGCUAAUACCGCAUACGACCUACGGCUGAAAGCAGGGGAUCUUCGGACCUUGCGCGAUUGAAUGAGCCGAUGUCGGAUUAGCUAGUUGGCGGGGUAAAGGCCCACCAAGGCGACGAUCCGUAGCUGGUCUGAGAGGAUGAUCAGCCACACUGGAACUGAGACACGGUCCAGACUCCUACGGGAGGCAGCAGUGGGGAAUAUUGGACAAUGGGCGCAAGCCUGAUCCAGCCAUACCGCGUGGGUGAAGAAGGCCUUCGGGUUGUAAAGCCCUUUUGUUGGGAAAGAAAAGCAGCAGGUGAAUACCCCGCUGUUCUGACGGUACCCAAAGAAUAAGCAACGGCUAACUUCGUG
rnacentral:rRNA from 1 species